UUUGAGGGAUUCAAAGAGAGAAACUUGAGAUAGAGAGAGGGAGAAGAGAAACCGAGAGUGAGGAAUUCGUCUCCCUUCGCCGGUAGUUCGUCUGAAUCGUCUCGACCUUCUGGGAAAGCUAGCUCGCCCGUCACCGUUCGUCGCAGCAAGCUCCCGAACCAGCCACUGAAUUGAAGCAGCAAACCGAUUGAUUUGGUCGGCUCUUUCCCUUUUUUUGGUGGAACUAAAGCUUUGCCGCAACUUGGCGCGGGGUGGUGCACCUCUGGCAGCGUCUUGCCCGCAAGUCGUGCAGCGGCAGCGCCUUGGCUUGGCGUGGCGUGGCGUGAUCCAAACGAGCAAGCCAUAGGACCCCGAACUUGACGAGCAAGAUGUAGGCCAGCAGAUAUGGCUCCCAAAGGGGACGGAAGGUGACAUAGCGUUCUCAAAUCGAUCCUCGAAUGGGCUCUGCAAACUGCAAGUCGUGGCUUCUCCAAGGUCGCAAUCCGGCAAUGUAGCCACCUUGUGGGCCAGGUUAGAAUUUAUUUUGCAGAUCCCAAUACGAUGGUUCCUCCAGUUCAGUCAGGAAUUCAUUAAUCCAUUCUCGCCUGAGCAAGCGAGCUACAUCUCCCCUCAGCUGCAUCGCCUGGUGCUGUGCUUCUCCGGCGUCACUGUCGCCUGGAUUCUUGCAAUGCCAGGACGACACAGAUGGGUUGGGUCCCUUGGGGUCUCUAAUCUGCUCUUUCUCUGAUCAUAAAUUUCGUGCUAUUAUUGCAAUUUAGUACUUCCGUUUGCAUGUUGAUACCAUAAUUUUAGUAUUAUUUUCUUUAGACAUGCAGUGUUGAUGAGGUGCCAGCGUUCAGACCAAGAAUCAAAAGAAUAAAAAAUAAAACGACGCCCAUGGCCGGAGGAGGGUCGUCGGUCCUUGUUCGCGAUAUGUAUGGUGGCCCACCUCCAUUGGGGCUCUCUCUCUCUCGCUCGCUCUCUCCUUCGAUGCUUCGUUGUUUUCCUUUUCUCAAAUUGCUCUAAUCUUUAGCCUUUCUUUCUUUAGUUUUUUUUAUGAAUUUUCUUUUUUCUUUUGGGGGCAACAUCAUUGCCGUUUGCUUUGAAAAAUAGCAUAAACGUCACGUUAAUAUCUUGUGUCAUCCCAAUUUGGAUGAACCUUAUAAAGCGUUGGAUGACACUAUUUUUUUUUCUUUGGUUGAAAUAACCUCUACUUUCGAGAAAGUCGAGGAGUUCAAUAAUUAUGAAACCCUUUCA